rnacentral:rRNA from 1 species
CUUGAACGCUGGCGGCAAGCCUAACACAUGCAAGUAGAACGAGUGGCGGACGGGUGAGUAAUGUCUGGGAAACUGCCUGAUGGAGGGGGAUAACUACUGGAAACGGUAGCUAAUACCGCAUCCCAUCGGCUGUGCCCAGAUGGGAUUAGCUAGUAGGUGGGGUAAAGGAUCACGUAGGCGACGAUCCCUAGCUGGUCUGAGAGGAUGACCAGCCACACGGGAACUGCGACACGGAACAGACUCCCACGGGAGGCAGCAGUGGGGAAUAUGGCAAAAUGGGGGCAAGCCUGAUGCAGACAGGCCGCGUGUAUGAAGAAGUCCUUCGGGUUGUACAGUACGUCCAGUGGGGAGGCGUCACUGGAAUAAGAAGCACUGGCUAACUCCGUGCCAGCAGCCGCGGUAAUAC